AUGAUGAGAAGACAAGGAGAUGAAGAGUCUAGGGCUUUCUACGACCUAUCGGCUCUAGUCCUGAGUCUCCUUCGUUCUCCUCCUAAUGCCGAACUCUCUCCCCACUCAAUUCCCUGAUUCCGUCAGACGCAAAUAUCUCAUCCGUCUGGAUUCGCGUCGCUGCUUCUCGGGAUAUCUGUGGCUCUUAUGCUAUGUGGAUCUUUGACCUUCUUCAUCGGUUUCCUCUUGUUGCCUUGGGUUCUGGCUCUGAUCAUUGUUUUCUACGUCGCCGGGAUCGUUUCCGCCAUUUCCAUAGCCUGGAGGUCCAUCCAUGCUCUGUUACGUCUUGACGCCUCCUCCCUCCUCCACAAAGGAGAUUUCUGGUAAAUUUAAACUCACGAUCUCGAGAUAA